UAAGGAAUAUUGGACAAUGGAGGCGACUCUGAUCCAGCCAUGCCGCGUGAAGGAAUAAGGCCCUAUGGGUUGUAAACUUCUUUUAGACGGGACAAAACCCCUUUACGUGUAAAGGGUUGAUGGUACUGUCAGAAUAAGCAUCGGCUAACUUCGUGCCAGCAGCCGCGGUAAUACGAAGGAUGCAAGCGUUAUCCGGAAUUAUUGGGUUUAAAGGGUGCGUAGGCGGACUAAUAAGUCAGUGGUGAAAGCCUGCAGCUUAACUGCAGAAUUGCCAUUGAUACUGUUAGUCUUGAGUACAGUUGAGGUAGGCGGAAUGUGUCAUGUAGCGGUGAAAUGCUUAGAUAUGACACAGAACACCGAUUGCGAAGGCAGCUUGCUAAGCUGUAACUGACGCUGAGGCACGAAAGCGUGGGGAGCAAACA
rnacentral:rRNA from 1 species